rnacentral:rRNA from 1 species
UACGUAGGGGGCAAGCGUUGUUCGGAAUUAUUGGGCGUAAAGGGCGCGUAGGCGGCUUGGCAAGUGGAUGGUGAAAUCCCUCGGCUUAACCCGAGGAACUGCCGUCCAAAGCUGCUUUGGCUUGAGACCGGGAGGAGGUGAGUGGAAUUCCCAGUGGUAGCGGUGAAAGUGCGUAGAUAUUGGGAGGAACACCAGUGGCGAA